rnacentral:rRNA from 1 species
GAGUUUGAUCCUGGCUCAGGAUGAACGCUAGCGGCAGGCCUAAUACAUGCAAGUCGAGGGGCAGCAGUACUUUUCGGAGUAGCUGGCGACCGGCGCACGGGUGCGUAACGCGUAUGCAAUCUACCCACUGCACAGGGAUAGCCCGUGGAGACAUGGAUUAAUACCUGAUAAUACAGGGAGCCCACCUGGGCAUAUUGUUAAAGUUUUAACGGCAGUGGAUGAGCAUGCGUCCCAUUAGUUAGUUGGUAAGAUAAUGGCUUACCAAGGCGAUGAUGGGUAGGGGUUCUGAGAGGAUGAUCCCCCACACUGGUACUGAGAUACGGACCAGACUCCUACGGGAGGCAGCAGUAGGGAAUAUUGGUCAAUGGACGCAAGUCUGAACCAGCCAUGCCGCGUGCAGGAAGACGGCCUUCUGGGUUGUAAACUGCUUUUCUCAGGGAAGAAAACGCUCUUGCGAGAGUACUUGCCGGUACCUGAGGAAUAAGCACCGGCUAACUCCGUGCCAGCAGCCGCGGUAAUACGGAGGGUGCAAGCGUUGUCCGGAUUUAUUGGGUUUAAAGGGUGCGUAGGCGGCCUAUUAAGUCAGUGGUGAAAGGUAUCAGCUUAACUGAUGACGUGCCAUUGAAACUGAUGGGCUUGAGUACAGACGAGGUAGGCGGAAUUUAUGGUGUAGCGGUGAAAUGCAUAGAUACCAUAAAGAACACCGAUAGCGAAGG